AUCAUCACUAUGUCAGUGGUGGGUCACAAUUCCCGUGCUGUCCUCCUACCUUCAUGUCCCCAAUACUCUCAGCUCUUCCUCCUGUUCUAGGUGAAGUACCCAGGGAAGAUGAACACUCCCAGCCCACAGCAUUGCUUUCCCAAAUUGUGGACCUCAGGAUUUCUGCAAUAGAAUCACCCAACUGAAUCAGAAUUUCUAGAGUUACAUGCUGUCUCGAUCAUUGUAGCUCUACAGAAGUCCAACCAAGGGCUUUGAGAAGUCCUAAGGGGAUAGCAGAUUCACAAAAGGGAAAUAUGCAAUCCAUUGGAUAAUAAGACAGAAUUGGAUAAUAAAUGGAAAUGAAGAUGGAUCCAAUGAAGGAGACUGAGAAGCAGCGGUCAUGAGUUGGGGGAGGGUGGUCUGAGAGUACAGAACCCCAGAAGCUGAGUUAUGACACGUUCCAUGGACGGAGUGGUUAUUUGUGUUAAACACCACUGAGAGGGGAACAGAACAAAGACAGAGAAUUGACAGUUGAGAGUUUCAGGUUCUGCAGCAAGCACCAGGUUCGCUAACCGCAAGGAAAUGGUCAGGCUGAAACAGUGAUGAGGAAUGUUGAGGAUGUUCUGCAGGAGAUUGAUAGAGACUCUUAACAACUUUGACUUCUCAGUUCUCCUUUAACUUAAUAUUUCACUUUAUAUUCAGCAAGAAAAAAUCAACGGAAAUAUUAGAACUUGAGAAAGGAUUGCAAAGAGCUUACAAGGCUUCCUUCCACAUGCAAAGUAGUAUGAAUUAAAGAUUGUGCAAAAGAAGAAAAAUGAAGCUCCAAGUAAAUGAGGGACUGAGUAGGAGCCAGCCUAAAUUCCUUGGAUUGAGUUCUUCAAUGUAGAGUUCUUCAUCCAUGGCAAG